AGCAGGUAUAACCAGAAGUGGAAUUGCUGGAUCAUGUGGUUUGGCUUUCCUCCUAUGUCUCUCUGGGUCUCCAAGAAUCCUACGCUGGAGCUCAGAUUGAACUGAGCCCUUGGCUUGUGUGCUGACCUCCUCAGUGGGCUCCCAGGCGACCAUGGAUGUGGGUCUCUUGGUCCUCCCGGAUGUACCGCAGGGUCACCGCAAAACUCUGCCGGGAGCGCGGGUCCGAGGUCCGGCCGUGCGCCGGCAGCGGGAGUUCAUGCCGGAAGAGAAGAAGGACACGGUUUACUGGGAGAAGCGCCGGAAGAACAACGAGGCGGCCAAGAGAUCCCGCGAGAAGCGCCGUCUCAAUGACGCGGCCCUGGAGGGCCG